CCUACGGGAGGCAGCAGUGAGGAAUAUUGGUCAAUGGACGAGAGUCUGAACCAGCCAAGUAGCGUGAAGGAUGACUGCCCUAUGGGUUGUAAACUUCUUUUAUAUGGGAAUAACAUGUUCCACGUGUGGGAUUUUGUAUGUACCAUAUGAAUAAGGCACGGCUAACUCCGUGCCAGCAGCCGCGGUAAUACGGAGGAUCCGAGCGUUAUCCGGAUUUAUUGGGUUUAAAGGGAGCGUAGGUGGAUUGUUAAGUCAGUUGUGAAAGUUUGCGGCUCAAACGUAAAAUUGCAGUUGAAACUGGCAGUCUUGAGUACAGUAGAGGUGGGCGGAAUUCGUGGUGUAGCGGUGAAAUGCUUAGAUAUCACGAAGAACUCCGAUUGCGAAGGCAGUUCACUGGACUGCAACUGACACUGAGGCUCGAAAGUGUGGGUAUCAAACAGGAUUAGAUACCCGUGUAGUC
rnacentral:rRNA from 1 species